AGAUUGAACGCUGGCGGCAUGCCUUACACAUGCAAGCCGAACGGCAGCACGGGAGCAAUCCUGGUGGCGAGUGGCGAACGGGUGAGUAAUACAUCGGAACGUGCCCAGUAGUGGGGGAUAGCCCGGCGAAAGCCGGAUUAAUACCGCAUACGACCUAUGGGUGAAAGCGGGGGAUCGCAAGACCUUGCGCUAUUGGAGCGCCGAUGUCAGAUUAGCUAGUUGGUAGGGGUAAAAGCCUACCAAGCGACGAUCUGUAGCUGGUCUGAGAGGACGACCAGCCACACUGGGACUGAGACGACGGCCCAGACUCCGUACGGGAGGCAGCAGGUACGGGGAACUUUUGGACCG
rnacentral:rRNA from 1 species